rnacentral:misc_RNA from 1 species
UCUCCGUUGGUGAACCAGCGGAGGGAUCAUUACAGAGUUUUCACAACUCCCAACCCUUGCGAACCGUACCCAUUCUGUUCUCGUUGCUUCCGGCGGGGGGGGCGGGGGGGCCCGAAACGGCCUCCCCGCCCCGCACGCCGGGGGCGGCGGGCCCCACGAACCUUUCUCUUUCAACCACCAGAAACCAUCUGAGAAAACAAACAAAAUAAUCAAAACUUUCAACAACGUACCUCUUGGCUCUGGCAUCGAUUAAGAACGCACCAGAUCGGAAGAGCACAC